rnacentral:rRNA from 1 species
GACGAACGCUGGCGGCGUGCUUAACACAUGCAAGUCGAACGGAAAGGCCCUGCUUUUGUGGGGUGCUCGAGUGGCGAACGGGUGAGUAACACGUGAGUAACCUGCCCUUGACUUUGGGAUAACUUCAGGAAACUGGGGCUAAUACCGGAUAGGAGCUCCUGCUGCAUGGUGGGGGUUGGAAAGUUUCGGCGGUUGGUGAUGGACUCGAGGCUUAUCAGCUUGUUGGUGGGGUAGUGGCUUACCAAGGCUUUGACGGGUAGCCGGCCUGAGAGGGUGACCGGCCACAUUGGGACUGAGAUACGGCCCAGACUCCUACGGGAGGCAGCAGUGGGGAAUAUUGCACAAUGGGCGGAAGCCUGAUGCAGCAACGCCGCGUGCGGGAUGACGGCCUUCGGGUUGUAAACCGCUUUCGCCUGUGACGAAGCGUGAGUGACGGUAAUGGGUAAAGAAGCACCGGCUAACUACGUG